UACGUAGGGCGCAAGCGUUAUCCGGAAUUAUUGGGCGUAAAGAGCUCGUAGGCGGUCUGUCGCGUCUGCUGUGAAAACCUAGGGCUUAACCCUGGGCCUGCAGUGGGUACGGGCAGACUAGAGUGCGGUAGGGGAGACUGGAAUUCCUGGUGUAGCGGUGAAAUGCGCAGAUAUCAGGAAGAACACCCGUGGCUAAGGCGGCUCUCUAGUACGGUACUGACGCUGAGACGCGAAAGCGUGGGGAGCGAACAGG
rnacentral:rRNA from 1 species